rnacentral:rRNA from 1 species
AUUGAACGCUGGCGGAAUGCUCUACACAUGCAAGUCGAGCGGCAGCACGGGGGCAACCCUGGUGGCGAGCGGCGAACGGGUGAGUAAUACAUCGGAACAUGCCCAGUCGUGGGGGAUAACACUUCGAAAGAAGUGCUAAUACCGCAUACGUCCUGAGGGAGAAAGCGGGGGAUCUUCGGACCUCGCGCGAUUGGAGUGGCCGAUGUCAGAUUAGCUAGUUGGUGGGGUAAAGGCCUACCAAGGCAACGAUCUGUAGCUGGUCUGAGAGGAUGAUCAGCCACACUGGGACUGAGACACGGCCCAGACUCCUACGGGAGGCAGCAGUGGGGAAUUUUGGACAAUGGGGGCAACCCUGAUCCAGCCAUUCCGCGUGAGUGAAGAAGGCCUUCGGGUUGUGAAGCUCUUUCGGCAGGAACGAAACGGCGAGCUCUAACAUAGCUUGCUAAUGACGGUACCUGAAGAAGAAGCACCGGCUAACUACGUGCCAGCCGCCGCGGUAAUAC